rnacentral:lncRNA from 1 species
CUGAAGUAUUAGCUCUGAAUCCCACUCGGUAGUGAAACUAGAUGUUGCUUUAUGAUUUUAAAAAAUUCGCUAUGAUGAACAUGUAUCUUCUUCAUAAGAGAAAGAGUCAAGUUUACUCUGAGUCAUCAUUGCAGAUUUCCUGUGAAGCAGAGGCACCUCUGGGCCCCACCCAGGCCUGGGACCGCCCUGAGCCUGAGCCCCUCACACAGUGCGGCCCCAGCCCUGCCUCGGAGAAGCCCAGGCCAGGAUGAAGCCUGGGACCGGGGGAGGAGUCGGACCGCGGCCCUGGAGCUCAGGAUGCUGCAGCCUGGGGUGUCGGCGUUAUUCCCACGCAUCUCCACAGCUCCCGCCGCACCCACCCCGCGGACCUGCUGGCGGAGCCGGUGGUAUACUGUGAACUGACUUAUGAAACCACCUCUGCAAGGCAAAACAGGCCAUUGGCCACUGGGCCCCGUGAACCUGUCCCUGGGCGUCCGCAUCUCUUCCAUCUUACAGACCGUGUGUCAGCCACCUGCUGCUGUGUGCCUGUGGUGGGACCCUCACUGCAGGGAAUGCUGCAUUCUUGGUGUUUGCUUACACAACGUGUUCCUAUUUCCUUUCCCAAAUCUGCAAGCACUCCUUGCAGAUAAAACAGCUCAGACUGGGAGAGGCCAAGAGAACACGGAGGUCCUGAAGCCCCCUGUGCUUGAGUCAGGAGCCCAGAGGCUGGUGCCACAGCUCCAAGCAGGCAGCACCAAACCUCAGCACCCACAGCCACAGUGUGGAUGACAUCAGUGGCAGGUAAAUUGACUGUACAGUAAGUGUACAAGGCCAGGCACGGUGGCUCAUGCCUGUAAUCCCAGCACUUUCGGAGGCCGAGGCAGGAGGACCACUUGAGUCCAGGAGUUCGAGACCAGCCUGGGCAACAUCGUGAGACCCCCAUCUCUACAAAACAUACAAAAUUAGCUGGGUAUGGUGGCACAUGCCUGUGAUCCCAGCUACUCGGGAGGCUGAGGUGGAGGGAUCACCUGAACCCAGGAGACUGAGGCUGCAGUGAGCUGUGAUGAGGCCACUACGUUCCAGCCUGGAUGACAGAGUGAGCCCCUUAGAUAAUAAUAAUAAUAAUAAGGAGGAGGAGGAGGAGGAGGAGGAGGAAAAGAAGGAGAAGUACUUUACAACUUCUGUAACGUAGGUGUGGGGAAAAUAUUGAAGGCAAUCCAAAAACAGUCACUGUGGAGUUGUGGAAUUAAGUAUCAAUUUUAAAGGUUUUUUCAAAUGUUUCUUUAACAUGGUUUUUGGUAUGAACAAUUUGUGUACGUUUUAAAAUUAUAAGACAUUUAGGCUGGUGUUAGGCAAGUCUCAGCAGCUCCAGCUUUGGGAAAGCUCUUCUGGGACCUUCUGUGGGCCAGGGAUGCAUCUGGCCACAUCUGGAGCCCACCCCCAGGUGAUAUCAGGGACAGCCCCUCUCUCCUCUCUCUGUCUCUCUUUCUGUCUCUCUGUCUCUGUCUCUCUGUCUCUGUCUCUCCGUCUCUGUCUGUCUCUCCUCUCUGUCUCUCUCUGUCUCUGUCUCUCUGUCUCUGUCUUUGUCUCUCUCUGUCUCUCCUCUCUCUGUGUCUCUGUCUCUGUCUCUCUCUCUGUCUCUCUCUGUCUGUCUCUCUGUCUCUCUCUGUCUCUGUCUCUCUCUGUCUGUCUCUGUCUCUCCUCUGUCUCUCUGUGUCUGUCUCUCUGUCUCUGUCUUUCUGUCUCUCUCUCACUGUCUCUGUCUCUCUCUGUCUCUCUGUCUCUGUGUCUCUCUGUCUCUGUCUCUCACUGUCUCUCUCUCUGUCUCUGUCUCUCUGUCUCUCUGUCUCUCUGUGUCUCUCUGUCUCUGUCUCUCUGUCUCUGUCUCUCCUCUGUCUCUCUGUGUCUCUCUCUGUCUUUCUGUCUCUCUGUCUCUCUCUGUCUCUGUCUCUCUCUCUGUCUCUGUCUCUCCUCUGUCUGUGUCUCUGUCUGUCUCUCUGUCUCUGUCUCUCUGUCUCUCUCUCACUGUCUCUCUCUGUCUCUCUGUCUCUGUCUCUCUGUCUCCACACACAGCAUAUAUAACAACUAUAUUGUGAGCAACUUUGUCUUCCCACGGUACAAACUGAAAUAUCUUUGGCAAAUACGUAUCCGACUAUACUGUGAAGAAAUAUUGACGUGAAAAAAGAACGCGGAGAUCUGAUAAAGCAACAAUUCAGCUCACGGCGAGGUCCUCUGCAGGAGGCGGUUGGUGGGAAGAGGCGAGUGAGCCUGCCCGUGCGUCCCGCAUGGAGACGUCUGGAUUGGAAACUACCGAAAGAUGUUUCAAGGAACUCUCCCUGGGUGACACGCUGGUUUUCAGACGUUUGAUUCAGCUGCUGCAGUUUCCUCCUCCCUGACACGGGAACUGAACUGCAGGCCGCGGCGAGCCAGCCAGGGAAACCGCCUUCUCCCUGGGCUCGGAGCUGCUGCCGGUUCUGGAGGGAGAGACCCCAGCAAGGAGGUGGUG